GGCUUACACUUGAUCUCUGAACUUCAGGUAAGUUCUUAUGUUGACAAGUACCUUGCUGAUGCU
rnacentral:snoRNA from 1 species